rnacentral:rRNA from 1 species
GAUGAACGCUGGCGGCGUGCCUAAUACAUGCAAGUAGAACGCUGAAGGAGGAGCUUGCUCUUCUGGAUGAGUUGCGAACGGGUGAGUAACGCGUAGGUAACCUGCCUGGUAGCGGGGGAUAACUAUUGGAAACGAUAGCUAAUACCGCAUGACAACAGUUAUUGCAUGAUAACUGUUUAAAAGGGGCAACUGCUCCACUACCAGAUGGACCUGCGUUGUAUUAGCUAGUUGGUGAGGUAACGGCUCACCAAGGCGACGAUACAUAGCCGACCUGAGAGGAUGAUCGGCCACACUGGGACUGAGACACGGCCCAGACUCCUACGGGAGGCAGCAGUAGGGAAUCUUCGGCAAUGGACGGAAGUCUGACCGAGCAACGCCGCGUGAGUGAAGAAGGUUUUCGGAUCGUAAAGCUCUGUUGUAAGAGAAGAACGAGUGUGAGAGUGGAAAGUUCACACUGUGACGGUAUCUUACCAGAAAGGGACGGCUAACUACGUG